rnacentral:rRNA from 1 species
GUACCGCGUGAGGAUCUGCCUAUAGGUUGGGGACAACAGAUGGAAACGUCUGCUAAUACCCAAUGUGCCGAGAGGUGAAAGCUUUGGUGCCUGUAGAUGAGCUCGCGUCCGAUUAGCUAGUUGGUAGGGUAAAGGCUUACCAAGGCGACGAUCGGUAGCUGGUCUGAGAGGAUGAUCAGCCACACUGGGACUGAGACACGGCCCAGACUCCUACGGGAGGCAGCAGUGGGGAAUUUUCCGCAAUGGGCGAAAGCCUGACGGAGCAAUACCGCGUGCGGGACGAAGGCUUUUGGGUCGUAAACCGCCUUUGUUAGGGAAGAACACAAUGACGGUACCUAACGAAUCAGCAUCGGCUAACUCCGUGCCAGCAGCCGCGGUAAUACGGAGGAUGCAAGCGUUAUCCGGAAUUAUUGGGCGUAAAGCGUCCGCAGGUGGUUUAUCAAGUCUGCUGUCAAAUCGUAGGGCUUAACCCUAUAAAGGCAGUGGAAACUGAGAGACUAGAGUACGGUAGGGGUAGCGGGAAUUCCCAGUGUGGCGGUGAAAUGCGUAGAUAUUGGGAAGAACACCAGCGGCGAAGGCGCGCUACUGGGCCGAAACUGACACUCAUGGACGAAAGCUAGGGGAGCG